GAGCCAUGAGAGUCACUGACGUGUGGGAGGUAGUUGACAAGAAGGACCACGAAUUGUCUCUCAUAUGAGAUACGAGGCAUGAACCUCAAUGAUGACAAAGGACAGAGGAAUGUCUCUAUGGAAAUUGGGACCUGAUCAUUCCAGGCAAAAGACACAUGGAAAGUACAAACUCUUUGAGGAAGGAGUAAGAAUGAAAUGUUUAAGGAGUAGAAAACAGGUUAUAUUCUAGUUUCAUUUCUGCUGUUGUAAUAAAUUACCCUAACAAAAUUAAAACAACACAUGAAGGAAAGAGUUAAUCUGUUUUACAGUUCCGGGUUGCAGUCCGUUAUCUCGGGGACUUCAGGACAGGCGCAGAAGCACCAGGUCCGUAGUCAGAAGCAGAGGGUGAUCAACAUGCAGACAUUGCUCAUUUGCUCUCUUUGUACUCAGCUGGCUUUCUCUCCCUUUGUGCAUUCCGUGGCCUGGUCCAUAGCACAGUGACAUCCACAUUCAAGUGAAGACUCCUGAAACAACUGACUGCCUCCAUCCAAACACCUUGCAGAAUCUGGACCAGGCAGUCCUGACACAGGAUGAUACAGAAAUUUCAGAAACACCCCUUCACCCCUAAAGUAAACUUUAUCCACUAAAGCCUGAGAUCACAAGAUUUAAAGACUCAGAAGGAGCCAGGUGGAUCCCAGAAAGGUUGGUGCUAUUUGCAGAUGUUCCCCUGAAGGAGGAUGUUCCUGCUGAUGACCAUGGUGAAUUCUGUCCUGAUGGUGAAUGGAGAGCUGUAUUGGGCUUAUGCUCCUGACCCACCUUUGUUUCAUUCUGCUCCUGGGAAAAGAUGUGCAGAGAAACCUCUUAGAUACAACGUGACUAUACUUGAUUGAUCUGGUAAUCAGGACAAUUCUCAACAAAAUCAGGAAAAAUGGGAAAAUAGGACUGACUAUGGGACUUAGGUCUGAUUCUGGUUUUCAGCACACACAUAUUUGGAAGCUUGCCGCAGAAGCUCUUAGAAGGCCCUAUAAUCGCCUAUGUAGAUUCUCCUUAUGCUUUGUUGCUUGGAAAUGUCAACAUUUUUACACAAGAUUCAAACUUUAAUGCUACAGACAGGUGGUCGAGGUAAACAAGCUUGACUUCUCCAUAAACGUCAUUGUAUCAAAGUGCUUUGCUCUGACUAUAAAAAGAGACUAUAGAAUAAACCAGGGUGCCUAGUUUCUACUAGAAACCCUCUUGAACAGA